AACGAACGCUGGCGGCAGGCUUAACACAUGCAAGUCGAGCGGGCACCUUCGGGUGUCAGCGGCGAACGGGUGAGUAACGCGUGGGAACGUGCCCUUUCCUCCGGAAUAGCCUCGGGAAACUGAGAUUAAUGCCGGAUACGCCCUUUUGGGGAAAGAUUUAUCGGGGAAGGAUCGGCCCGCGUUGGAUUAGGUAGUUGGUGGGGUAAUGGCCUACCAAGCCGACGAUCCAUAGCUGGUUUGAGAGGAUGAUCAGCCACACUGGGACUGAGACACGGCCCAGACUCCUACGGGAGGCAGCAGUGGGGAAUAUUGCGCAAUGGGGGAAACCCUGACGCAGCGACGCCGCGUGAGCGAAGAAGGCCUUAGGGUUGUAAAGCUCUGUUCUAUGGGACGAAGUCCUUGACUGUGAAUAAUGGUCAAGGUUGACGGUACCAUAGGAGGAAGCCACGGCUAACUACGUGCCAGCAGCCGCGGUAAGUCACGUGUAA
rnacentral:rRNA from 1 species